rnacentral:lncRNA from 1 species
GCGGACACCGAGACGUUUGCCUUCCAGGCGGAGAUCAACCAGCUCCUCAGCUUGAUCAUCAACACCUUCUACAGCAACAAGGAGAUCUUUCUCCGUGAGCUUAUCAGCAAUGCCUCCGAUGUGAGUCUUCUUCAGCCGUUGAUUGUUAUUCUGGAUUUGGAAUCAGUAUUUGAUCUAGUGUUUAUUGAUUGUUUGAUUGUUUGGAUUUUGAUUGCGUUUGAGUACUGGUUUUUGUUGACGAUUGGUGUUGGAUUAGUAGAGAUCUGGACUCUUUAGGCUUGAUUCUAGGGUUUAUGAUAGUUUUGCAAUAUUAAAAGAGUAAUCAAUCUGUGGAUUAGUUAAAAGUUGAUAAUGGAAAUAGGAUGAUGAUUUUUGUAGUUGUUUAGCUGUUGUUGUGGAAUCAGAAUCGAGUGGGUUUUGAUUUUGAUGAUUAAUAGUGGAUUGAUUAGUUUUAGUAAUUAUUACUGAUUUGGGGGUUUAGGGUUUUGUUUUUUAUUCAGGGGUUUCGGAUUGGUGUGUAACAUGCUUUGGGCUCAAUGUUAAUCAUGAUCAAUCGUAUUUUAUACAUGUCUUCAUUGUGCAGACACAUAGUUUCGUUUACCUGUUUAUGUCAACUUUGAUAUGGAGUUGAUAUGGUGCAUAGUUACCGGUGGAUGCUUUUAAUUUGUUUUGUAUUGAUUGUGAAUACGAUUGUUAAGUUGUGAGCGGUGUGUUUAUUUAAGUGUGUCGAUUUUUCUUGAGUUUGUGCCUUUUAGUUUCAAUGGAGUGCGUUUGUUGAUGUAUGAUGUUCUAUUUAUGCAGGCUCUUGACAAGAUUAGAUUUGAGAGCUUGACCGAUAAGAGCAAGCUUGAGUCUCAGCCAGAGCUCUUCAUCCACAUUAUCCCCGACAAGACCAACAACACAUUGACCAUUAUUGACAGUGGUAUUGGAAUGACCAAGGCUGGUAAGUUGCUCUGCUUUUGAUUUUACAUGUUUGUUUUAGUUUUAUGUUUUUGGGAUACUGAAAUUGAUGAUGCGAUACUAAUGUGUUUGCUUAAUUUCUGUUUUCAGAUUUGGUGAACAACCUUGGUACCAUUGCAAGGUCAGGAACCAAGGAAUUCAUGGAAGCCUUGGCUGCUGGUGCUGACGUUAGCAUGAUUGGUCAGUUUGGUGUUGGUUUCUACUCUGCCUAUCUUGUUGCCGAGAAGGUCAUCGUCACCACCAAGCACAAUGAUGACGAGCAGUACAUCUGGGAGUCUCAGGCUGGAGGAUCUUUCACAGUGACCAGGGACUCUGGUGAGCCUCUUGGCAGGGGUACCAAGAUCUGCCUUCACCUGAAGGAGGACCAACUUGAGUACCUUGAAGAGCGCAGGCUCAAGGAUUUGAUCAAGAAGCACUCCGAGUUCAUCAGCUACCCUAUUUCAUUGUGGAUUGAGAAGACCACUGAGAAGGAGAUCUCUGAUGAUGAGGAUGAAGAAGAAAAGAAGGAAGAGGAAGGAAAGGUGGAGGAAGUUGAUGAAGAGAAGGAAAAGGAGGAGAAGAAAAAGAAGAAAAUUCAGGAGAUUUCUCACGAAUGGUCUUUGGUGAACAAGCAAAAGCCUAUCUGGAU